CCGUCUUCCGCGCCGGCGCCGAUCUCUCCGUCAAAGCGGAACAAUUCUCAGAGUAAAUGUCCCGUUUUCUGAUUUAUUUCCAUUUCCAUCCGAGGGAAGCCGGCGGCGUUUGUGAAGCGUCUCCUGCGGCCGGAGUCUGAUGUAUCGCCGAGAGUUAGACCUGCGGUGAGAGAUUUAUUGGAAGAAAAACCCCAACUGGAAGCAAACCACGACUGAAGACGAGGGAACAGCAACAAGUGAACCAGCCCGAGGGUUGAGAGCAUCAACUGGAGAGAACCCAUCUGACUCGGAGAUUCCAGUGAUUCAGUCAGGAGAAAGUUUGAUUAAUAACGACAAGGAAUUUGUCUACUGGAAUCACGAACACAACACACCAGUUUUGCUGACUUCGUCCAGAUAUUUAAGAAGUAGGGCAAGGGAUUCACUCGAUCAUCCUUCCUGCUCAGACUGUGGGGAGGGACUCACUCGGUUAUCUGACCGACUGGUAUUCCCAUCAUUUUAUACAGGGGAACCCAUUCAUCUGCUCAGACAGUGGGAAUGGAUUCACUCGGUCAUUUCAACUGAAGGUACAUCAGCAAGUUCAACAAGGCCAUUCACCCGUUCUGUGUGUGAGAAGGGUUUCAGUUGGUCUCCCCACCUGUGGACACACCAGUCAGUUCACUUCGAACAGAGGCUGGUCAUCUGCUGAAUUUGUGGGGAAGAAUUCACUCGGUUAUCUGACCUAAUGGGUCACCAGCGAGUUCACACCGGGGAGCAACAGUUCACCUGCUCAGAUUGUGGGAAAGGAUUCAUUCAGGCAUCUAAACUGAAGGUACAUCAGAGAGUUCACACUGGGGAGAGGCCGUUCACCUGCUCAGACUGCGGGAAGGGAUUCACUCAGUCAUCCCACCUCCAAGCACACCGGUCAGUUCACACUGGAGAGCGGCCAUUCACCUGCUCAGACUGUGGGAAAGGAUUCACUAAUUCAUCAGACCUACUGGUGCACAAGUCAGUUCACACCGGGGAGUGGCCGUUCACCUGCUCAGACUGUGGGAAGGGAGUCACUUGCUCAUCCCAACUAAAGAUACAUCAGAGACUUCACACUGGAGAGAGGCCGUUCACCUGCUCAGACUGUGGGAAAGGAUUCACUCGGUCAUCCGACCUACUGGUACACAAGUCACUUCACACAGGGGAGAGGCCGUUCACCUGCUCAGACUGUGGGAAAGGAUUCACUCGGUUAUCUAAACUGAAGGUGCAUCAGAGAGUUCACAAUGGAGAGAGGCCGUUCACCUGCUCAGACUGCGGGAAGGGAUUCAAUCGAUCAUCCCAAAUGCAAGCACACCGGUCAGUUCACACUGGGGAGAGGCCAUUCACCUGCUCAGACUGUGGGAAGGGAUUCACAUCGUCAUCUCAACUGAAGGUACAUCAGCAAUUUCACACUGGGGAGAGGCCGUUCACCUGCUCAGACUGUGGGAAGGGAUUCACUCGAUCAUCCCACCUACAAGCACACCGGUCAGUUCACACCGGGGAGUGGCCGUUCACCUGCUCAGACUGUGGGAAGGGAGUCACUUCCUCAUCCCAACUGAAGGUACAUCAGAGAGUUCACACUGGAGAGAGGCCGUUCACCUGCUCAGACUGUGCUAAAGGAUUCACUCGGUCAUCCGACCUAAUGGCACACCAGCGAGUUCACACCGGGGAGCGGCCGUUCACCUGCUUGGAUUGUGGGAAGGGAUACACUCGGUUAUCUAUACUUAAGGUACAUCAGAGAGUUCACACUGGAGAGAGGCCAUUCACCUGUUCAGACUGAAGGGAAGUGAUUCACUUGGUCAUCCCAACUGAAGGCACAUCAGAGAGUUCACACUGGAGAGAGACUAUUCACCUGCUCAGACUGUGGGAAAAGAUUCAGUCAUUUCAACUUAAGAUAUAUCAGCGAGUUCACACUGGAGAGAGGCCAUUCACCUGCUCAGACUGUGGGAAGGGAUACACUUGCUCAUCCCAUCUGAAGGUACAUCAGUGAGUUCACACUGGGUAGAGGCUGAUCACCUGCUCAGACUUUGGGAAGAGAUUCUCUUAGCCAAAUCAAUCAAAUGUGCAUCACUGAGAUCAUACUGGGGAGAGGCUGUUCACCUGCUGUGAAUGUGCAAAAGACCAUGGAAAUCUCUCUUCCAGUCUCACAAGAAAGAACAGUUCUGUCAUUGGUGUUACAUCGCUCAUGGAUAUCUUGUGACUGUCUUUAGUAUUGGAGAGUGAAGGCUUUAUCGAAGUACAGGAUCUGAAAGAUUAAGAAAAGUUGGUAUCGAUCGGCAGUUUAAUAAAGGAUUGACCUUACUGAGUCUUCGUUGAAGAAGUAGCGACCUGCAUCAAAGGUAACUCCUGCCAAAAGAGCAAGGUAGUUCAUGUAGGAUUUGCUCACCAGAAGAAAGGUCAGUUGCUUUAAGCCGUCUAUUUCCUUCGUCGUGAAUCCUUUGGACAGAACCAGAAGGAAAGUCUCAUCUAUGAAGAAAUUCUUCUUCAGAGAAGUCUCUCCCAAUUGACUGUAUAAAUCACUUGGAUUUUCGAAUUUACCAUUUUAAGAACUGUGUUUGAAUUUAUCGCUUUAAGAACUGUUUUCGCAUUUAUCGUUUUAAGAAAUACUACUUAGUGGUGGUUUGUUGAAGGGCUGCAUAACAGUUUACUUCCGGUUAAGGUUUUCAUUCUUUCCCCCAUUGUUCAUCGGUGUUUAAUAAAUGUUUGGUUGUUUUGAUAUAAUCUGCCUCAAUUGACAUUCAUUACUGCCAGUUACGUAACAUUGGAUAGCACCGCAAUCCAAAACCCUGUUAUCUCUAUUCAUAACCUAAACAUUGCUGCUGCGGUGAAACCAUUACUUCAGCAGUGAAACAUUACAGAGAGGCCAUUAAAUGAGCGGUGAAACCUUACAGUGUGAUAUACUUGUGGCACACUGCUGGGUUCACACUGGGCAGAAAGUUUCAAUAAGCUGCAUGCUGGAUAUUUGUCCAUCACAGUUGCUCAAUGCAAUUUUGACAGUGACUGUCGGUGCUGAACUCUGCAAUUAUUGCUGCUGCUCACCACACUCAGUUCUGCACCCUGGUCACUGUGCAUGGGAGGAGUUUCUUCUGCUGCAUAUUCACCUUAAAGAGACUGGAGAUUACUAUUCCUGUAUCUGAGACAAAUAAAUCAGUUCUAUUUUAAACUCUGUCUCCAUUACUUAGUGAAUUUAUAACACAACUAGUGUACAGGAGAGAGUCAACUCAGGCCGGCUGUACCCUGCCAAUAAUUCUGUUCCACGACAGUCCUUUUAAAUCCUCCCCUGUUGUUCAUCUCUCACUCUCCCUGUGGUGAUGGGUUCCAAACAGUCACCACUCUGUGGGUGAAGAGGUUUCCCUUGAAUUCUCUGCAGACUGAAGAAGUCGAGCUGACUGUGGUUCUGUUUGGGAUGCUCUUCGUCCCUCUAAUCUCUGUGCUGAGAAGCAUGACAUUGGUAGUUAACCUCCUUAAUCACGACUCAUUUCCACGUUAUGGGUCAUUUUCCCUGCUUCUAAAGGGUUGUUAGAAAACACCACUCUCCUCUAAAGACUGAAAGCAGAAUGGGAAACCAUUAGUUGGAUGUUCAAUGGAGCAGGGUCAGAAACCAGAGGCGGGUCUGCACAGGGCAGAGUUUGGGGCUGUGGACGAUGGUCGGGGUAAGAACGUAUGAUGAGGAGAAGGGAAUCAGCAGUGGGGCGUGGCAAUGAAUGACAGAGUAGCAACACUUGGAAGCUGAUUGACAGAGAUUGUGUGACUGAUGACACAAACAACACCAGUGGUGAGGUGCUCCACUGGUCGAGGAACGUGUGUGUUGGGAAUGCUUUUUCUAUUGUGGGGGUUGUUUCUGCUUGUUUAUCCUGUAAGAUUAUAUCCCCAUGGUUAUUAUGGAUUGUCCUAUCUGAAAUAGUGUAUUGAUUAUCAAAUAAUUUGUAAGAUUUUGACUCCAAAACUGGAUCAGGCUUGAAUUUAUGGAGUGAUGGAGGGCAUUCAUGAGUUUGUAUUUUAAAGCAAGAUUUUGGUCAAUGAUAUUUUCCACUUGAUUGUACUUCAUAAGUAAUCAAACUGAGUUAAACUGCUGCAGGAUCCCGGAAUAUGUUGGAUUGUGUCUGGUUUUUCUUGGCAUUUCAUGUAUUUUUGAUUUUUUUUUUUGCCUUUUGUUAACCACCUUAUCCCAUAUUUCUGCAAGGAACCCCCCCUGUUUCUGGGAGGAGGUCUCCAACUCUCAGUCAGGUGAUCGAUGCUUCCUUGUCAACAUCUCAUCUGUUCAGAUCGUUGGGAUGUCUCCCAUGGAGGGUCAUACUCAUUCCACUGGUUAAUGUUUUCUUCCAUAGUGAUGUUUCAUUUUUUCUGAAUGGGCCUCUCAUUUCAGUUUUCUGGUAUUUCUUAUCACAAUUGCAUAUACACACAUGGAGUGCUGAAUCCAGUUCAUUUUUGAUGAAAAUAUUUACUUAGAAGUUUUAUCUGACCGUUGUGUUUUUUUUUCCACGUGUGUUAUUUCUAUUCCUCCUUCUGUCGAAGGUAGUGUUAAUCUAAGUGGGUUUAAGUGUAAAUACGCUUUUCUAAAUUUCUUAUUUAUGUUUGUAAAUUUUAUGGAU